AAUAGAAAUAGUAGGUAAUAUUAGUAAAUAUUAUUUUGAAAGAAAUUUAUUAUUUCUUUAGCUAUCAGUGCCUUCUGGUAAGCAAUCCGUCAUAGGCUGUACCAUCGUUCAUAAUUGGUGAUUGCUGAGAUUAACUUUAUUAUUAAAAAUUGAUUAAUUUAUAACUGCACUUGUAUUUGUAAAAGUCAUUUACUUUUUGUUAGCUCUGCUACUACCAAUUGCAAAAUUUAUUACAUUUACCGUUCGAACGCGUGUAAAGACUCAUUUUGGAUCAUCUUUAUUCUGUGAUAAAGUAUCAUAAAACCAACAUUUUGUGAAUUUUGUUAAUGAAGUUGGAUUACAAUCCAACGUCUGCUACGUUUUUAGAUUUGAUUUCAUACGAAAAUGCAAUAAAAGCUUGUAAAAAGUAAUUUCUUUUUCCUACCCAAUAAAUCCAAAUGUCUUCAAUAUCUUAAUUCUCGUAUAAGAUUGUAUCAACGUAUCGGCGAGGGUCGACAUUCCGCGUGACAAUGCGGCAUUAGUGCCGUUUUAUCGCUCAAAGGUCGCGGCGCUGCGAGGGAUAUAAAUUCGUUAAUCCAUACCUAAUAGCUAUUACAUUAACGCAGGCUACCACGGUAUAAGAAAGCUCUUUGUACAUAUGUUUUCUGGGGCUCUACAGUGUUUUAUUGUUGCAGUUAUUCUACCGCAGGAUGGUUACGUUUUGCAUGAUUGUAGUACCUACCUAGUAAGUUGUUAGCUGAAAUCCCUAACGUUUUUGUUCAAUUUUUAUGGUUAGUUAUA
rnacentral:lncRNA from 1 species